GCUGUUGUCAAAAACACUCAAAUGAGCACGAUUCAGUCAGUAGACGGUGGGAAAAGAGGACACAGUUCUUCGAGAAAUCACUAAAUGCUCAAUUAGGUAUCACGAAAAAGCGCUACGAAAAAUAAACGGAUAAAAAGGCUCCUAAACUAGAGGAAAAGCAAAAGGUAGGGCGGGCAAAACGCAUCUUCAUUAUCACGGGCACUAGACUAGCAAACGCAGAAAUGAGAGAGAAGAUCGCAACUUCACAAAUUGUCAUCCAGAGAGCGCCUGAAGUUGCUCAGCAGGUUGCUGUCCUCCCAGGCGCCUAUGGAGGCAUCAUAACAUAAAGGCGACUGUACAAUCAUGUCAUGUAUUGUAUCACCAUAGAGAAAAUACAGUAUUUCUGGUAUUUCACUGUAUUUUCUCUAUGUUGUAUCACAGGCAUAGGUGUGAAGAGUGAAGAGUGCGGAAAGACUCUUGCGAUGGUUUAUUACUAUUUCUCACAAUUGUUCUAAAUUGUUCCAGUGAUUUUAAUAAUACCUGUCCUCCGGAUCGAGUGUGCGGAGAAUACAUUUGACGAUUCGGAAAGACAUUGAGCACGAAGGGAAAAGUACCUGUGAUAAUGGAGAGUGAAGAAACAGACCAUGUUGAAAAUAACGGUGUCGAUGACCCUCAAGAACCAACGGAUGAUGUUAGUGAAACUAAUGAAACUGACACUAUUGCUAAAACAAGAGCUUCCACCCGCCCGAAGAGAAACUGCACUGUAGAAUCUCCAACUAACCAAAAGAAAAAGGACGUGGAAGAGGUCGAGGGAAGAAAAUUCCCGCAGCCGCUGACAAUGAAGUCCUCAAAAAUGAUGAGCAGAAACCGAUAGACAACGGUGAAAGUCAGAAAGAAUCAAAUGCUGGUGAAGAGCCAUAUGACCCUCAUGAAGUUGAUGAUCAAUUUUCUGAUGCAGCUGAACCGGAAAAUAAAGAGGAAGAACAACUACACCAGAAGUGAAAUCUGAAAAGGUUUGCACACAGUAUUAACGUUCAAUAAACUAGUUUCAUGGGAAGGAAGAUCAAAACUCGUCUGCCCCUUUGACAUUUGUCAACACAAAUAGAGGCAUUUUCGAAUUUGGAAGUGUUCUUCCUGUUUCUCUGUCUUCCUUUCCUUAAAUUAUCUGCAACUAUGCAGACAUUGAAUCAGAAGAUUCGAAAAUUUUCAUUGUGUGGACUAGUCGGAGAUUUUCCAAUGAAGUUUAUGAGUAACUAUUUUUUUGCAUUGACAAGUUAGGAUUGGUCAGAGAAUUUCAGAUCCAAAAACUCAUAAAAUCCCAACAUUUAUCAUGGCCUCUUUCUUUUCUGAGUUUUGUGUUUUUCAAUACUUUUAUGAAUUAAUCUUCUUUUAAAAGUUUA
rnacentral:lncRNA from 1 species